rnacentral:lncRNA from 1 species
GAUGCUCAGAGAGCCAACGGGCGAUGUUUUCGGGAGAGGAGCAACAGGCGAUGCUGACUAGGAUAUAAUAUAUAGAGAGAGAGGUCAACAUGCGAUGCUGAAGAGACAAGAGGAGAGAGAGCGAGCGAUGUUGAGAGAGAGGAGAGGUGAGAGGGGGAUGCUGAGGAUAGAGAAGAGGUGAUAGGGCGAUGCUCAUUUCUCAUCCCUUGUCCCUGAUGGUUUCGUACUUCUCACUUUGUCUCCAAAAUUGUUUGAAUGAGCUUUUACGAAAGAUUUUUUGUAAAAGCUUAGUUUUAUGGAACAUGAUAGUCCAUUAAGACAAAACCCAACUGAAUCGGAACAUGUUAGUCCAUUAAGACAACCCAGGUGAAUUAUCAAAGAAACAGACUAGAACCCCAUACAUUAAUCAGAGGACAUUAAUCAGAGGAUAAGGAAAACUUUCCCUGCUUGAAGUUUUGAAGAGUGAAUUUAGUUUUAUACCAAACCACGCCAACAACCACCAAAUCCCCAAUAAUAUUAUAUGAAACUUGGUGUUUUUUUGCCUCAUGUACAGUAAUAAAACCUUUAAUUUUAAGGGCUUAUUUAGGGAAUAACCAAAAAAAAAAAGAAAUUAGAUUUUUGAGAGGGAUGAGAGAGAGAUAGGAAGAGAAAAGAGGAGAGAAUGUGGGAUUUUAGUUAGAUAGUGAGUUUUGUUUUUUUCCUUAGCUAUUAGGUGCAAUUUCUCUAAAUUUAAAUUAUAUUUAAAAAUAAAAAUUUAUUAUUGUUUUAGAUUUUAUUAUCAAUAAUUUAAUAUAAAUUUUGAUUUAAUUAAGAGAAAUUAGGCUCUAUAUGCAUACAAUAACUCAAAAUUAACUAAAUGCCCACGACACUGUUGAACUUUCUUAAUCUCCAUUUGACCCCUACUAAUCUAUGACUCUAAAUGGGAGCAUACAUGAUAUUGUGUCAGAUGAAAUAAUGACUGUACGAUCGUACUCUAUGUAUACAUAUGGUGAGAGAAUUAUUUCAUUUUUUAUUAGAAUUUUGUAGCAGGUGAACAAUCCAUUGGUUGGAGAAUUACCACUUUUUGUAGAGAGAACAAUUUCAUAGAGCCAUCGUCACGAUCUUUGAUUUCUUCCUAUACCUUUAAUGAUAAAUAUCUAGACGAC